AAAGUCGUAACAAGGUUUCCGUAGGUGAACCUGCGGAAGGAUCAUUAGUGAAUAAACCUGCUUGGGUUCGUCGCUUCGGCACGACCCUCGCAACUCACAUCCAUAACACCUGUGAACUGUAAGGAAGUCCAUGCCUCGGCUGGACUUUCCUGCCCUUUUUUUAUAAACACGUAGUCGUCUCAAAAGUAGUCUUAUUAUAAUCUAAUAAAACUUUCAACAACGGAUCUCUUGGCUCUC
rnacentral:misc_RNA from 1 species